CAUUGUUUCUGUGCAGCAUUGUUACACCACAUCAAAUGUGCUGCACAGCACAGGUAACACCUGAUGGAACCCAUCAUAUCAAAUGUCUGUGGUACUGCUCCAAUGACCUUAUAUUCUUUAACAAUGACAAAUUAUAUAUGAGCAGCACAUCAGUCUGGAUUAUGCCAUGUCAAGGAGCAGUGAGGGAGGUCCCAAACAUUUGGAUCUUGACACUGAUGUCAAGUCAGGCACCUUAGGCUGCCACAAGAGCUGAUGACGAGGACUGGGAUACACUCAGCCUUAUCUGGCCACCAGAAGGAGAGUGGAAAGAACCUUGGAAUUCCAUCACUUCAGAGGGGGCAAUCUGGAUCCAUUCAGCUUCAUCAAGCUUACUGAAUGGCCAGACAGCCCGGACUAUGCCAUUAUGCCAUCUUGAGGACUAAUGAAGGAAGUCCCAAACAUUUAGAGCUUGGCACUGAUGUUGAGUCAGGCCCCUCAGGUUGCCUCAAGAGUGAAGGACCUUAUAUCCACAACAUCUGGACUUCAGAAGGCCAGGACUAGGAUCCACUCAGCUUUGCCUGGCUGCCAGAAGGAAAGUGGAAAGGAACUUGAGCGGGCCGCUGUGGCUGAGCGGAUCUAGGCACUUCAGUCCGGAACCGCGUGACUGCUACGGUCGCAGGUUCGAAUCCUGCCUCGGGCAUGGAUAUGUGUGAUGUCCUUUGGUUGGUUAGUUCCAGGGGACUGGUGACCUCUGAUGUUAAGUCCCAUAGUGCUCAGAGCCAUUUCAACCAUUUUGAAAGGACCUUGGAAUUCCAUCACUUAAGAGGUGGCGAUCCAGAUCCUUUCAGCAUCGUCAGGCUU